CCUACGGGAGGCAGCAGUGGGGAAUAUUGCACAAUGGGGGAAACCCUGAUGCAGCGACGCCGCGUGAGUGAAGAAGUAAUUCGUUAUGUAAAGCCCUAUCAGCAGGGAAGAAAAUGACGCUACCUGAGUAAGAAGCCCCGGCCAACUACGUGCCAGCAGCCGGGGUAAUACGUCGGGGGCAAGCGUUAUCCGGAUGUACGGGGCGUAAAGGGAGCGUAGACGGCAGUGCAAGUCUGGAGGGAAAGGCGGGGGGCCAACCCCCGGACUGCAGUGGAAACUGUACGGCUUGAGUGCAGGAGAGGUAAGUGGAAUGCCUGGUGUAGCGGUGAAAUGCGUAGAUAUUAGGAGGAACACCAGUGGCGAAGGCGGCUUACUGGCCUGUAACUGACGUUGAGGCUCGAAAGCGUGGGGAGCAAACAGGAUUAGAUACCCGUGUAGUC
rnacentral:rRNA from 1 species